UUGGCGGGCAUAUCCAAAAUAAAAAAGCGCCAGCACUCUCCACUAAGUUUUCAGUUCUUUUCUUUCACCCUAUUCAAAGAACCCUAAGCCCCAAAUUGCAAAAUAAGGAUGGCACAAACUCUCCGCUACCACCACUUUGCUGUCCUCCCUCUCCAAUUGGUGCUCGGUGCUUGACAAAAUUCUUCAAUGAUUCGAGCUUUCAUUCGGGAAGAGUUUGAAAAAAAUCUGACAAAACAGGGACUUAAAAAACAGGCAUAGAAGGCGUAGUUCAAAACUCUGUACCUUACCAUUCAAAUGCUACCUGCACAAACCUAAAGAACUAAAUACAAAAGUUGUUAAAAGAUUAAGAUAUCUUUGUGAUGCUGACGACAACUCGGGCGAAUUAGUAGCUAGACAACAAUUUCAAUAUUGGACUUAGGUCUCCAACUCCUUAUUUGGGACAUAAAUUGACUUUUGUUAUAUUCAGAUCCCGAUACUGUAGUUUUCGGACCGCAGUGAGG